ensembl:lncRNA
UUCUCUAUUAUUCCUUUAAUUUCCACUUUUAUAACCGAUUACUUUGCAAAAAAAAAAAAAGAAGACCCUUUUUUUAAAGCAAACUUCAUAUAUAUAUAUAUUUUUUUAUAAUUUUUUGACCUUCCCCCCCCUUUUUUUUCUUUCCUUCUUUCUUUAACAUUGUAUUUUUGAAAUUCCAAACUCUACUCUAGAUUUUUAACUUUUGCUUUUUGGUAUUAGUUAUCAAUUUUGUACCUAUAUUUUCUUUAUAAUUUUUGCGACCUUGUUUGUGUUUGUUCAUUUUUUCUCUUUCUUUUCCUUCUUCUUUUCUUUAACAUCGUAUUUUUGAAAUUCCAAACUCUACUCUAGAUUUUUAAUUUUUGCUUUUAUGUAUUUGUUACCAAUUUUGUACCUUUAAGAACCCAAUCUUCAGUACCCAUUUUUCACUAGGGAGCGAGAUUACUGGCUUAACUGCUCUCUCUCCCUUUGGACUCUCCUUUUUCUCCACCAGGUCGCCUGUGUCUCCUCCCUAACCCCUCUCUACUCUACCCAACUCUGUGAAUUUCUGUGUGUUCCAGAUGGUGGAGAAUACUUAGGGAACUGAUUACUGGCUGGAUCUGUCUUCCUCUUUUUCAUUCCCCCCAUUUAUCCUCCUGGCCAUCUCUGCCACCUUCCUCCUUCUUCUCUUCUAUAUAUAACUCUGUGAACAACUCUGAGCGGUCCAGUUGUGGAAUGCACGUAAGGAAGAGAUUACUGAAUAGCCCACUCUCUCCUCUAUUGAUUCCACCUCAUCUCAUUUGGGUCACCUUUAACUCCCUCCUCACUCUUCUCUUCUCCAUAUAACGCUGUAAACCUCUCUGGGUGAAACAAGUUUCAGGGCAAGACAUACCAAGCAAAUUCUACAGCAGCAAGGAACACAGCCCUGAGCUCCAAGAUACAGGCAGCCCAAAGUCACCCCAAAACCAUAGACAUCCCAUAACUCAUUACUGGACAUUUCAUUGCACUCCAGAGAGAAGAAAUACAGCUCCACCCACCAGAACACCAACACAAGCUUCCCUAACCAAGAAACCUUGACAAGCCACCUGUACAAACCCACACAGAGCGAGGAAACGUCACAAUAAAGAGAACUCCACAAACU